GGGCCCGCACAAGCGGUGGAACAUGUGGUUUAAUUCGACGCAACGCGAAGAACCUUACCUGGGUUUGACAUCCCCGGCCGACACCAGAGAUGGUGUUUUCUCUUCGGAGACCGGGUGACAGGUGCUGCAUGGCUGUCGUCAGCUCGUGUCGUGAGAUGUUGGGUUAAGUCCCGCAACGAGCGCAACCCUUGCCCUCAGUUGCCAGCAGUUCGGCUGGGCACUCUGGGGGGACUGCCGGUGACAAGCCGGAGGAAGGUGGGGAUGACGUCAAGUCCUCAUGGCCUUUAUAUCCAGGGCUACACACGUGUUACAAUGGGGGUCACAAAGGGCAGCGAAACGGUGACGUGGAGCGAAUCCCAAAAAAGCCCUCUCAGUUCGGAUCGCAGUCUGCAACUCGACUGCGUG
rnacentral:rRNA from 1 species